rnacentral:rRNA from 1 species
GACGAACGCUGGCGGCGUGCUUAACACAUGCAAGUCGAACGGAAAGGCCUCUUUCGGGGGGUACUCGAGUGGCGAACGGGUGAGUAACACGUGAGUAACCUGCCCUUGACUUUGGGAUAACUUCAGGAAACUGGGGCUAAUACCGGAUAGGAGCUCCUGCUGCAUGGUGGGGGUUGGAAAGUUUCGGCGGUUGGGGAUGGACUCGCGGCUUAUCAGCUUGUUGGUGGGGUAGUGGCUUACCAAGGCUUUGACGGGUAGCCGGCCUGAGAGGGUGACCGGCCACAUUGGGACUGAGAUACGGCCCAGACUCCUACGGGAGGUAGCAGUGGGGAAUAUUGCACAAUGGGUGGAAGCCUGAUGCAGCAACGCCGUGUGCGGGAUGACGGCCUUCGGGUUGUAAACCGCUUUCGCUCAUGACGAAGCUUUGUGUGACGGUAGUGGGUAAAGAAGCACCGGCUAACUACGUG